UACGUAGGGUGCGAGCGUUAAUCGGAAUUACUGGGCGUAAAGUGUGCGCAGGUGGCUGAGCAAGUCGAGUGUGAAAUCCCCGGGCUUAACUUGGGAAUUGCGCUCGAAACUACGUGGCUCGAGUGUGGCAGAGGAAGGUGGAAUUCCACGUGUAGCGGUGAAAUGCGUAGAGAUGUGGAGGAACACCGAUGGCGAAGGCAGCCUUCUGGGCCAACACUGACGCUCAUGCACGAAAGCGUGGGGAGCAAACAGG
rnacentral:rRNA from 1 species